rnacentral:lncRNA from 1 species
UUAGAAGUUGGGAGAAAUGACUAGUCAUGUAUAUCAAUUCUUAGUUUAAAAAAGAAGUUAAAGUAACUAAAAAAAUAUGUGAUUUAAAAGGACAAGAAAGAAAAAGUGAGAAAAGGGAGGAAGUGUUGAAAAAGAAGCUAAAGCCAGAAUGUACGAUUACUCAAGGUGAGCCACAGUUUGGCUCUGAGAUGUGGAACAGCCAGAGCAAGCAUGAGAACUGCGUGGUUUGCAAUGAUCCCAAGAUUAAAAAUAAGCCAAACGGUCAGAAAUCUCCUUCCUUAGAGAAAGCUUUGACAGCCCACGGUCCAACCUGCAUUCACCAUGCGGGGCCUCUGCUUCGUGCUCCUGACCUGCUUCAUCUUCUUUGCUUACUUUGCCACAGCCCAGGUCAUGGAGAUAGACUCAGAAGAGGAGUGCAAGCAGGUUGGUGCCCAGUGUAAAUGGUUUUCUUGCCCAGAUGAUCAUGCACGUCUUGGUACCUGUUGGUUUGGGAUAAAGAAAUGCUGUCGGUAGCUGGGAUGAGCUGAAGAACACAGAGGACAAGGAGCCCAGAGACUGAAAUAAAGGGCUGACUAUAACUCUGAAAGUGCUGUGGCAUUAUUUCCUGAAAAUAAAUAAUUGCCUGUGCUGUG